GAUGAACGCUGGCGGCGUGCCUAAUACAUGCAAGUCGAGCGAACGGACGAGAAGCUUGCUUCUCUGAUGUUAGCGGCGGACGGGUGAGUAACACGUGGAUAACCUACCUAUAAGACUGGGAUAACUUCGGGAAACCGUAGCUAAUACCGGAUAAUAUUUUGAACAGCAUGGUUCAAAAGUGAAAGACGGUCUUGCUGUCACUUAUAGAUGGAUCCGCGCUGCAUUAGCUAGUUGGUAAGGUAACGGCUUACCAAGGCAACGAUGCAUAGCCGACCUGAGAGGGUGAUCGGCCACACUGGAACUGAGACACGGUCCAGACUCCUACGGGAGGCAGCAGUAGGGAAUAUUCCGCAAUGGGCGAAAGCCUGACGGAGCAACGCCGCGUGAGUGAUGAAGGUCUUCGGAUCGUAAAACUCUGUUAUUAGGGAAGAACAUAUGUGUAAGUAACUGUGCACAUCUUGACGGUACCUAAUCAGAAAGCCACGGCUAACUACGUG
rnacentral:rRNA from 1 species